AUUGAACGCUGGCGGCAGGCCUAACACAUGCAAGUCGAACGGUAGCACAGAGAGCUUGCUCUCGGGUGACGAGUGGCGGACGGGUGAGUAAUGUCUGGGAAACUGCCUGAUGGAGGGGGAUAACUACUGGAAACGGUAGCUAAUACCGCAUAAUGUCGCAAGACCAAAGAGGGGGACCUUCGGGCCUCUUGCCAUCAGAUGUGCCCAGAUGGGAUUAGCUAGUAGGUGGGGUAACGGCUCACCUAGGCGACGAUCCCUAGCUGGUCUGAGAGGAUGACCAGCCACACUGGAACUGAGACACGGUCCAGACUCCUACGGGAGGCAGCAGUGGGGAAUAUUGCACAAUGGGCGCAGGCCUGAUGCAGCCAUGCCGCGUGUAUGAAGAAGGCCUUCGGGUUGUAAAGUACUUUCAGCGGGGAGGAAGGCGAUAAGGUUAAUAACCUUGUCGAUUGACGUUACCCGCAGAAGAAGCACCGGCUAACUCCGUGCCAGCCGCCGCCGUAAGAC
rnacentral:rRNA from 1 species